rnacentral:pre_miRNA from 13 species
AGGACAGGCCGAGAGGCUCCACUCCGUCUGCCCAGUGUUUAGACUACCUGUUCACUGCUCCAAGAUUGUACAGUAGUCUGCACAUUGGUUAGGCUGGGCUGGGAGACGCACGCCGACCCAC